CGGGUGAGCAACACGUGGAUAACCUACCUAUAAGACUGGGAUAACUUCGGGAAACCGGAGCUAAUACCGGAUAAUAUAUUGAACCGCAUGGUUCAAUGGUGAAAGACGGUUUUGCUGUCACUUAUAGAUGGAUCCGCGCCGCAUUAGCUAGUUGGUAAGGUAACGGCUUACCAAGGCAACGAUGCGUAGCCGACCUGAGAGGGUGAUCGGCCACACUGGAACUGAGACACGGUCCAGACUCCUACGGGAGGCAGCAGUG
rnacentral:rRNA from 1 species